rnacentral:lncRNA from 1 species
CCCCGCCUACGUUUCUUAAGACAAGUGUUUAACUUUGAUAGAUCUUUGCUAUACGGUCUAAUACCAAUAUAUAUGAUUCAUAAAUAUAUUGAUAACAGAUAGGAAGGCUUAGUUGCCUUCCAAGAAAUCUAUGUCCUGAAUUAAUAAGAAUUCUUUGAAAUCUAAAUUAGUCAUGAUUUACAAAAAGUUCAAGAAAUGUUUCUGGGUCUCGAUGGCCUAGUGAUCUAAGUAGGCCAUCAACAGUCAGCACUACCAUGUCAACACUAAAUUGUGUAUUGUAUAACAUUCUAACAGUUAUUGUAUUUGUCUAUGUAACGGAUUUACGACAGACGACCUUCUGAAUAUACAAAGCUAGCAACAAAAAUAACAUAAAAUGUACGGAUUUACGACAGACAAUCUCCUGGAUAUACAAAGCUAGCAACAAAAACAACAUACAUUGUACGUGUAGCUUACAAUGUUAGAUUUGCAGUUUUGCUGAUACUAGUAGAACACGAGUGCAAGAAGCAAAGUUCCCUAUUCACUCACCAGUCACAUUUUUCUCUCACAAUUUAGGACAGUUUUUUAAUAGAUAACUUUGGCCCCAAUUUAACAUCUGACCCGAAAAAUUUCCGUGUCUGUGAAUUAAACCCCGACUUGGUAACAUCUAGAACAUUUUGGCUAGAAAGUUUUUCUGAAGUUUUAAGGUAAAAUAAAUCUUUUGAUAAUAUAUCUUAAUUUGAAUCAAUGUAUUUCCUAUACAUCUCAUUAAGGUCUUUGAAAUAAAUAUAUUUAAAAAUGAAAGUAUGACCAGUCCUGUUAUUUUUAUAUUGAAUGUUUGAGUUUUGUUAGAUCCUCACAGUGAUUUGAACCCAUGCCUCUGUGACAUCGUGGCUACAGUGUCAUAUACCGUUUGACUUACUAGGCUACUUUGUAUAUUAAAACAUAGAUUUCGUUAAUUGACUAAUGCAUUUUUUCGUCGGCUUUAUUAAGAGUUGUAACAUAGUACAUAAAGCUGUUUAAUGUUUUAUGCCAUAAAAAUGUUUCGUGGCAUAUCGAAAGAAUCUUGCACUUCGACAGUUCCCAAUUUUGUGUAGGAUACUACAUUUACUUAACAGUCAGUCACAACUAUAAACGGUAAAAUGUGUUCCAACUUUACGACC